rnacentral:rRNA from 1 species
UCUGGUGAUUAUGGCAUGAAGGUACACUCGUUCCCAUACCGAACAGGUCGGUUAAGCUUCAAUGCAACCAUGGUACUGCAGGGGUGACCUUGUGGAAGAGUAGGUUGUCGCCAGGU